rnacentral:tRNA from 1 species
UGCUGCAUGGCGCGGGCAUGCACGUCGUGCAGCACGACGAGCGGCCAGUCGAUCGUCGCGACCUGCGGCAG